rnacentral:misc_RNA from 1 species
CGACCCUUAAGCCUAGCUUAGUGUUGGGAAUCUACUGUCUGUAGUUCCUGAAAACCAACGGCGGAUUUAUAGUAUCCUCUGAGCGUAGUAAUUAUUAUCUCGCUUCUGUCAGGUGCCGUAACUCUAGCCGCUAAACCCCUUAUUUUUAAA